AUUGAACGCUGGCGGCAGGCCUGACACAUGCAAGUCGAACGGUAGCACAGGGGAGCUUGCUCCUCGGGUGACGAGUGGCGGACGGGUGAGUAAUGUCUGGGGAUCUGCCCGAUGGAGGGGGAUAACUACUGGAAACGGUAGCUAAUACCGUAUAACGUCGCAAGACCAAAGUGGGGGACCUUCGGGCCUCACACCAUCGGAUGAACCCAGAUGGGAUUAGCUAGUAGGUGGGGUAACGGCUCACCUAGGCGACGAUCCCUAGCUGGUCUGAGAGGAUGACCAGCCACACUGGAACUGAGACACGGUCCAGACUCCUACGGGAGGCAGCAGUGGGGAAUAUUGCACAAUGGGCGCAAGCCUGAUGCAGCCAUGCCGCGUGUAUGAAGAAGGCCUUCGGGUUGUAAAGUACUUUCAGCGGGGAGGAAGGUGGUGAGGUUAAUAAGCUCAUCAAUUGACGUUACCCGCAGAAGAAGCACCGGCUAACUCCGUGCCAGCCGCCGCCGUAACAC
rnacentral:rRNA from 1 species